GUCUUUUUGAAGACAUCCGAUAAAAUUAGACGAUACAGAGAAGAUUAGUAUGGCCCAUGCGCAGGGAUGAUACGCACAAAUCGAGAAAUGAUCCAAGUUUUU